CAGCAGCCGCGGGAAUACGAAGGGUGCAAGCGUUACUCGGAAUUACUGGGCGUAAAGCGUGCGUAGGUGGUGGUUUAAGUCCGUUGUGAAAGCCCUGGGCUCAACCUGGGAAUUGCAGUGGAUACUGGCUCGCUAGAGUGUGUCAGAGGAUGGUGGAAUUCCCGGUGUAGCGGUGAAAUGCGUAGAGAUCGGGAGGAACAUCAGUGGCGAAGGCGGCCAUCUGGGACAACACUGACGCUGAGGCACGAAAGCGUGGGGAGCAAACAGGAUUAGAUACCCCCGUAGUCCCUGUCUCUUAUAC
rnacentral:rRNA from 1 species